CAUCCAAGCCUGAGUACUACCCUGUGACCGAUAGCGCACCAGUACCGUGAGGGAAAGGUGAAAAGCACCCCGGGAGGGGAGUGAAACAGUACCUGAAACCGUGCGCCCACGAGCAGUCGGAGCAACUUUCAGUUGUGACGGCGUGCCUUUUGUAGAAUGAGCCAGCGAGUCGCUGGCGCGGGGCGAGGUUAACCGAAAGGGAGCCGGAGCGAAAGCGAGCCUUAACAGGGCGACUUGAGUCCCGCGCCGCGGACGCGAAGCCGGGUGAGCUAUCCGUGGGCAGGCUGAAGCGGGGGUAAGACCCCGUGGAGGGCCGAACGCACGUCGGUUGAAAACGGCGGCGAUGACCUGCGGAUAGGGGUGAAAGGCCAAUCAAACCCGGAGAUAUCUCGUUCUCCCCGAAAUAGCUUUAGGGCUAGCGUCGCGCGUUCACCGCCGGAGGUAGAGCACCGGAUGGACGAGGGGGCUUCGCCGCCUACCGAAUCCAACCGAACUCCGAAUGCCGGCGGCCCAGAGCGCGGCAGUCAGAGCAUGUGGGCUAAGCUGUGUGCUCGAGAGGGAAACAGCCCGGACCGCCCGCUAAGGUCCCCAAGUUCCAGCCGAGUGGCAAAGGAUGUGCGUCCGCCCAGACAACCAGGAUGUUGGCUUAGAAGCAGCCAUCCAUUCAAAGAGUGCGUAACAGCUCACUGGUCGAGUGGACAUGCGCCGACAAUACACGGGGCUAAGCUGGACACCGAAGCGGCGGGAUUUUAUUCAUUAGAAUCGGUAGGGGAGCUUCCCAUGGGCGGAGAAGCCGGAGGGCGACCGACGGUGGAGCGCAUGGGAGUGAGAAUGCUGGCAUGAGUAGCGAGAGACGAGAGAGUAACUCGUCCGCCGUGAACCCGAGGUUUCCUGGGCAAGGCUAAUCCUCCCAGGGUCAGUCGGGGGCUAAGGCGAGGCCGGGAGGCGUAGCCGACGCGCAGCAGGCAGACAUUCCUGCACCGCGCACGCGGCGCUACGACCGACGGGGCGACGGAUGGGGGUGGCUCGGCGGGGUUCUGGACGUCCCCGUGAUGGAGCGCGGCCCGCGGACCAGGGAAAUCCGGUCCGCAGAAGGGCGAGGCUCCGGACGAAGCGACUGAGCGAAGCGAGUGAGCCCGAGGUCCCUAGAAAAACCCCUAGGCAGGCGCGUGCGCGCCCGUACCGCAAACCGACACAGGUGGGUGGGUAGAACAUACCGAGGCGAUCGGGUCAACCAUGGUCAAGGAACUCGGCACAAUGGCCCCGUAACUUCGGGAGAAGGGGUGCCCGCGCGUACGUGAACCGGCUCGCCCGGGGAGCGGAGGCGGGCCGCAGUGGAGAGGCCCAAGCGACUGUUUACCAAAAACACAGGACUCUGCAGAAGCCGCAAGGCGACGUAUAGGGUCUGACGCCUGCCCGGUGCCGGAAGGUCACGCGGAGGAGUUAGCCGAUUCGGCGAAGCCCCGAAGCCAAGCCCCGGUAAACGGCGGCCGUAACUAUAACGGUCCUAAGGUAGCGAAAUUCCUUGUCGGGUAAGUUCCGACCUGCACGAAAGGCGCAACGACUUGGGCGCUGUCUCGACCAUGGACCCGGUGAAAUUGCACUGGUCGUGAAGAUGCGACUUACCCGCGGAAGGACGGAAAGACCCCGUGAACCUUCACUGCAGCUUGGCAUUGGCCGCUGGUCCCGCGUGUAGAGGAUAGGCAGGAGGCACAGAUCCGGAGGCGCCAGCCCCCGGGGAGCCGCCCUUGGAAUACUGCCCUCGCGCGACCGGCGUCCUAACCCGAGGCCGUCAACCGGCUCGGGGACCGUGCCAGGCGGGCAGUUUGACUGGGGCG
rnacentral:rRNA from 1 species